AAAAGCCCUAGAACAGCGGGCGCUGGGCCCCCACGCGGCGUCUGGGAAGCGGAGCUGCGCGCACAUCCAACCACGGCGCACGCAUUGCAAGAGCAGAACCUGCAGAAAGAGCCCCCACCCCACCCGUGCGAGGGUGGGCACGGGAAACACAUGUUUUAAUAAGGGUGGAAGUGGAUUUGAACGGUCUGGAAGCAGGAUGUUCACACUGCAGUCACAGCAAGUGCAAAAGCCCCGAGGAGACGGGAGCAGCCCCCUUCCCAUUACAGUGGGAGGCUUUGGAAGGAGCCAGGAUCCGGGCUGGCGGCCCUCCUCAGCCCUGCGAUGGAGGGGGCCACAGCUGGGAGCAGGGUCUGCACCAGGAGACAUUUCCUCUCAGAGCUGUAAUUAUGGGGCUGCUCCUAGGAGAGCCUGUGGGCCGGCCGCAUGGCCUCCUGCGGCCAGAGCAGGGAAAUGCCAUCUGGCAGGUGGCCUGCACCUUUUGACUACGGUCGCCUCAAUGCCACCUCUUGUUUGCCCACCCCCCUCCCAAAGGUAUCCAGUGGCUUCUCAAAAUUUGCUAUAACUAACAAGGCCAUGUGACCUCAAAUAAGGUCUUUCCUCCUCAUUGAAAAUCAAGGUUGACCUCCGGAAUUAGAUUUGUGUGUUCGUGACUAUCGUUUUAGCCCGCGGGACCCUCAGCGGGUGCAUUGGUUGCGUGUGUCCCCAGCUCCAGGCUGGUGCUCACAUUCAUGUCUGCCUCCCAGCCUUUCACAGCCACCUACACAGUGGUCGUGACUGUCCUCAUUUUAAGAGAAGAAAGCCAGCCCAGGCACAGGGAGGUUAAGGUACUGGCCGGAGAUCACACAGCAGGGAAGUGGCCAAGCAUAUCUCGGCCGUGUUUGCUGAAUGAAUGCCUAGAGGUCUGGGGUCACCCACGUGGCAGGUAAACCUGUGGGCUUCACUGCCCCAGGCCAGCCCUUGGCCACCACACCUGCCUUCUGUCCUGACUUGCUGGCUCCAGAGCCCUGCA